rnacentral:rRNA from 1 species
CCGGCGACCGGCGCACGGGUGAGUAACACGUAUGCAACCUGCCCGUGGCAGGGGGAUAAGCGGGGGAAACCCCGUCUAAUACCGCGUAACGCGGCCUUGGGGCAUCCCAAGGCCGCCAAAGGGAGCAAUCCCGGCCACGGAUGGGCAUGCGGCGCAUUAGCUAGUCGGCGGGGUAACGGCCCACCGAGGCGACGAUGCGUAGGGAUUCUGAGAGGAAGGCCCCCCACACUGGUACUGAGACACGGACCAGACUCCUACGGGAGGCAGCAG